rnacentral:lncRNA from 1 species
GUACGAUCAUGCUCCCUACGGGCAGGCACAUCAUGCAACGGUAAUUCUUACUAUAAAAAGCCUUACGCUUUGAGGGAAAAGGAAGACGAACCAAAAGAAACCCCCUUCACCUUAUACUAACUUGAUCGUCGGAGGGGUCGGGCCGAGCUCCCCGACCCGACCUUUGUGCAGGUGCGAAGGUCGAGGUAUCCCGCUAAACGCCCAGGUGAGGAGCUCCUUUCCGGAGGAAACGACGACCCCGUCCCGAUCGGACCAUCGUAAUCGACCAGCUCAGUAGUCUCGAGAAACGUCCCAAGGAGAUCCUCCAUCAUCCGGACCCGAACCAGUCGUGUCGACCCCAAGGCCACGGCUCCAGGUUGUUUCCCACAACAACAGAACAAGAUCAUCGACUCCCGUCAUUCUGUUCGAAGCCCCUCAUGCUGCUACGUUCGUGAGGCUUAUCGUGGGGAGCGUUUGCACCGGUGUGCCAUUCUGCCCAAACCUUCCGACUCAAUCAUAGCGAAGAAUCUAUUGCUUGUUUGUCAGCCAAGAAUUCAACAUGCUCGUGUUCGUUGUACAGCGCAAUCAUGCCUUCCCCAUGAAUCACGCAACGCAUGCAAAUGGCCCC